rnacentral:rRNA from 1 species
GGGUCAGUAGGUUGGUCGUGCCACCGGUACGUACUGGUCCCACUGAUUCCUCCUUCCUGAAGAACCGUAAUGCCAUUAAUUUGGUGUUGCGGGGAAACAGGACUGUUACUUUGAAAAAAUUAGAGUGUUUAAAGCAAGCUAACGCUUGAAUACAUUAGCAUGGAAUAAUGAAAUAGGACGAUCGAUCCUAUUUUGUUGGUUUCUAGGAUUGACGCA